CCGCAGCCCCGAUUGAAGCGGCAUCCUUUUGGCGAGGCGGUGAAGCGAAGCGGAGCCGACAAAGCCAAAAGAUACAGCUAAAAGCGGGAAGUGUC
rfam:Chryseobacterium sp. Leaf180 contig_5, whole genome shotgun sequence.